AGAGCGAACGCUGGCGGCAGGCCUAACACAUGCAAGUCGAGCGCCCCGCAAGGGGAGCGGCAGACGGGAGAGUAACACGUGGGAACGUACCCUUUGGUUCGGAACAACACAGGGAAACUUGUGCUAAUACCGGAUAAGCCCUUACGGGGAAAGAUUUAUCGCCAAAGGAUCGGCCCGCGUCUGAUUAGCUAGUUGGUGGGGUAACGCUCACCAAGGCUACGAUCAGUAGCUGGUCUGAGAGGAUGAUCAGCCUCACUGGGACUGAGACACGGCCCAGACUCCUACGGGAGGCAGCAGUGGGGAAUAUUGGACAAUGGGCGCAAGCCUGAUCCAGCCAUGCCGCGUGGGUGAUGAAGGCCCUAGGGUUGUAAAGCCCUUUCGGCGGGAAGAUAAUGACGGUACCGCAGAAGAAGCCCGGCUAACUUCGUGCCAGCAGCCGC
rnacentral:rRNA from 1 species